rnacentral:lncRNA from 12 species
UACUUUCUCCCCCAAGGCAUACAAAACUGCCAUCAGACUUUAUUGUUUCUGAUACAAACUUUCGUAAGCUGGGGAGACUUCCAGAUGAACUGGAAACCCGGACAUGAAAUCAAUGGCACAGGCAGUAGCAAAGGGUGACAGUACUCCAGUGACACCACUUUACCUAAAGCUGGCAGAAUGA